AUCUAAAUAGCUUAUAAUAAGAGCGUGACAUUGAAGAUGUUAAGGAGGUUAUUAAAAUCUUUAGAUA
rnacentral:tRNA from 1 species